UACGGGGGGAGCAAGCGUUGUUCGGAUUUACUGGGCGUAAAGGGCGCGUAGGCGGUCUUGUAAGUCCCGUGUGAAAUCCCUCGGCUCAACUGAGGAACUGCACGGGAAACUGCUUGGCUUGAGUUCGGGGAGAGGGAAGCGGAAUUCCGGGUGUAGCGGUGAAAUGCGUAGAUAUCCGGAGGAACACCGGUGGCGAAGGCGGCUCCUGGACCGACACUGACGCUGAGGCGCGAAAGCGUGGGGAGCAAACAGG
rnacentral:rRNA from 1 species